rnacentral:rRNA from 1 species
AGUUUGAUCCUGGCUCAGAGUGACACGCUGGCUGGUAGGCCUAACACAUGCAAGUCGAACGGCAGCACAGGAGAGCUUGCUCUCUGGGUGGCGAGUGGCGGACGGGUGAGGAAUACAUCGGAAUCUACUUUUUCGUGGGGGAUAACGUAGGGAAACUUACGCUAAUACCGCAUACGACCUACGGGUGAAAGCAGGGGAUCUUCGGACCUUGCGCGAUUGAAUGAGCCGAUGUCGGAUUAGCUAGUUGGCGGGGUAAAGGCCCACCAAGGCGACGAUCCGUAGCUGGUCUGAGAGGAUGAUCAGCCACACUGGAACUGAGACACGGUCCAGACUCCUACGGGAGGCAGCAGUGGGGAAUAUUGGACAAUGGGCGCAAGCCUGAUCCAGCCAUACCGCGUGGGUGAAGAAGGCCUUCGGGUUGUAAAGCCCUUUUGUUGGGGAAAGAAAUCCAGCUUGGGCUAAUUACCCGGUUUGGGAUGACGGUACCCAAAGAAUAAGCACCGG